rnacentral:rRNA from 1 species
UUCCGGUUGAUCCUGCCGGACCCGACUGCUAUUUGGGUGAGAAUAAGCCAUGCAAGUCGAAUGGGAUUCCUAAAAUUCCCAUGGCUAACUGCUCAGUAACACAUGAUCAACUUACCCUAUAGAGAAAAAUAACCUCGGGAAACUGAGGAUAAUAUUUCAUAGUUGAAUAGGCUUGGAAAAGUUUUUCAAUAAAAAGGAUAAGAAAAAUGGUUCUUAUUCGCUAUAGGAUAGGAUCGUGGACGAUUAUGGUUGUUGGUGAGGUAACGGCUCACCAAGCCGAUAAUCGAUAGGGGCCGUGAGAGCGGGAGCCCCGAGAUGGGUACUGAGACAACGACCCAGGCCUUACGAGGCGCAGCAGGCGCGAAACCUCCACAAUACACGAAAGUGUGAUGGGGUUACCCAAAGUGUUCUAUUAAGAACUGUGGUAGGUGAGUAAUGUUCCCUACUAGAAAGGAGAGGGCAAGGCUGGUGCCAGCCGCCGCGGUAAAACCAGCUCUUCAAGUGGUCGGGAUAAUUAUUGGGCUUAAAGUGUCCGUAGCCGGUUUAGUAGGUUCCUGGUAAAAUCGGGUAGCUUAACUAUCUGCAUGCUAGGAAUACUGCUAUACUAGAGGGCGGGAGAGGUCUGAGGUACUACAGGGGUAGGGGUGAAAUCUUAUAAUCCUUGUAGGACCACCAGUGGCGAAGGCGUCAGACUGGAACGCGCCUGACGGUGAGGGACGAAAGCCAGGGGAGCGAACCGGAUUAGAUACCCGGGUAGUCCUGGCCGUAAACGAUGCAUACUAGGUGAUGGCACGGCCAUGAGCCAUGUCAGUGCCGUAGGGAAACCGUUAAGUGUGCCGCCUGGGAAGUACGGUCGCAAGGCUAAAACUUAAAGGAAUUGGCGGGGGAGCACC